rnacentral:rRNA from 1 species
UACGAAUGGGGCUAGCGUUGUACGGAAUUACUGGGCGUAAAGCGUGCGCAGGCGGCCAUUUAAGUCAGGGGUGAAAGCCUGGGGCUCAACCCCAGAACUGCCCUUGAGACUGGAUGGCUGGAGUGCGGGAGAGGUGAGUGGAAUUCCCAGUGUAGAGGUGAAAUUCGUAGAUAUUGGGAAGAACACCCGUGGCGAAGGCGGCUCACUGGCCCGUAACUGACGCUCAGGAACGAUAGCGUGGGGAGCAAACAGG